UUAUUUAUGUGUGUGUGUGUGUGUGUGUGUGUGUGUGGCCAGCUCACACACACACUGGCUGGCAUGUGGUGC
rnacentral:pre_miRNA from 1 species